UCGCGUCGAGUGAUGCUUCUUCUUCGGUCAAAGAGGCGCAAAGGGUAUCAGCAACCAGCUCCGCACCACCGCUGAACUGCUGCCAGGUGCCCAAGGGCUCAAGGAGGAAGCACUGGGACUCUGGGAGCAUUGAAGAUUGGUUGGAGAUGGCGGAAUUGGCCGGGCCGCGGGUAUACAGCUGCUGCCAUUGCCAGAACAACGUAUGCCUCCACGACGAUAUCAUCUCCAAGGCCUUCCAGGGGAGGAAUGGCCGCGCAUUUCUCUCCUCUCACGCCAUGAACAUCACCACGGGGGCCAAGGAGGACAGGCAGUUCAUGACGGGGCUUCACACGGUCGCCGACAUCCACUGCCGUGACUGCCGCGAGGUGCUUGGAUGGAAGUACGAGAGAGCCUACGAGGAAUCCCAAAAGUACAAGGAAGGCAAGUUCAUAUUUGAAAAGGACAAGAUCGUGCAGAAGAAUAGGUAAGAAAUGGAAAAGAGAUUCAACCAACCAUGUGCCAGCCAGAAUGUUCUUAUGGAUCAUCCAUGCCUUUGUACAUAGCAAGAGAUGGCGGAACUGGUUGGGCCGCGGGUGUACAGCUGCCGCCAUUGCCGGAACCACGUCUGCCUCCAUGACGAUAUUAUCUCCAAGGCCUUCCAGGUGAACAACUUCAC